GUGGACUUCUGAGUUUGAGGCCAGCCUGCUCUACCUAGUGAGAUCCAGACCAGCCAGAGCUGCCUAGUGAGAACCUGUGACUUCUUCGGAUGUUUGUCUUCAUUUUGUAAUAUGGGAAUUUUUGACCCCUUCCCCAGGCAAAACCAGCCUUGGGCCAUACCACUGGGCCCUCUGCCCUGUCCUCUUUAUGGGAGGAGGAGGAGAGGGGCUGGAGAUCUCUUUCACCCAUCAAACCCUACUGCAAAGGGAAACUCCAAAACUGGACAAAGUCUGGCCGAGACUGGAGCUCUCUAAUGGGAGAAUCACCUGAACUUGGGGAGAGUAACCACUUUGCUCCCCUGGCCACCCGCUGAUGGCAGAGAUGGACCUGGCCAUGCAACCUUCUGCAGUUAAGGCUUUUCCGGACGCCAGCCCUUGAUUCCUCCGCAAAGAUGAGAAGGGAAUAUCACCCCGACCUUUCAGAUGCUUGAAGAUAACUGUCAUUUGAGGUCACUAGACAUACUCCAUUAAACGAAAAGAAAAAUAAAAAUUACAGACAAAUC